rnacentral:rRNA from 1 species
UCGACGGCAGCACGGACUUCGGUCUGGUGGCGAGUGGCGAACGGGUGAGUAAUAUAUCGGAACGUACCCUGGAGUGGGGGAUAACGCAGCGAAAGUUGCACUAAUACCGCAUACGAUCUACGGAUGAAAGUGGGGGCUCGCAAGACCUCAUGCUCGUGGAGCGGCCGAUAUCUGAUUAGCUAGUUGGUAGGGUAAAAGCCUACCAAGGCUUCGAUCAGUAGCUGGUCUGAGAGGACGACCAGCCACACUGGGACUGAGACACGGCCCAGACUCCUACGGGAGGCAGCAGUGGGGAAUUUUGGACAAUGGGGGCAACCCUGAUCCAGCAAUGCCGCGUGAGUGAAGAAGGCCUUCGGGUUGUAAAGCUCUUUUGUCAGGGAAGAAACGGUGAAGGCUAAUACUCUUUGCUAAUGACGGUACCUGAAGAAUAAGCACCGGCUAACUACGUGCCAGCAGCCGCGGUAAUACGUAGGGUGCAAGCGUUAAUCGGAAUUACUGGGCGUAAAGCGUGCGCAGGCGGUUAUGUAAGUCAGAUGUGAAAUCCCCGGGCUCAACCUGGGAAUGGCA